GUGGGGAAUCUUGGACAAUGGGCGCAAGCCUGAUCCAGCCAUGCCGCGUGAGUGAAGAAGGCCUUAGGGUUGUAAAACUCUUUCGCCGGAGAAGAUAAUGACGGUAUCCGGAGAAGAAGCCCCGGCUAACUUCGUGCCAGCAGCCGCGGUAAUACGAAGGGGGCUAGCGUUGUUCGGAAUUACUGGGCGUAAAGCGCACGUAGGCGGGUUUGUAAGUAGGGGGUGAAAUCCCAGGGCUCAACCCUGGAACUGCCUUCUAGACUGCAAGCCUGGAGGUCAGGAGAGGCGAGUGGAAUACCGAGUGUAGAGGUGAAAUUCGUAGAUAUUCGGUGGAACACCAGUGGCGAAGGCGACUCGCUGGACUGAUACUGACGCUGAGGUGCGAAAGCGUGGGGAGCAAACAGGAUUAGAAACCCUUGUAGUCC
rnacentral:rRNA from 1 species